rnacentral:rRNA from 1 species
AUUGAACGCUGGCGGCAUGCCUUACACAUGCAAGUCGAACGGUAACAGGUCUUCGGAUGCUGACGAGUGGCGAACGGGUGAGUAAUACAUCGGAACGUGCCUAGUAGUGGGGGAUAACUACUCGAAAGAGUGGCUAAUACCGCAUGAGAUCUACGGAUGAAAGAAGGGGAUAGCAAGACCUUGUGCUACUAGAGCGGACGAUGGCAGAUUAGGUAGUUGGUGGGAUAAAAGCUUACCAAGCCGACGAUCUGUAGCUGGUCUGAGAGGACGAUCAGCCACACUGGGACUGAAACACGGCCCAGACUCCUACGGGAGGCAGCAGUGGGGAAUUUUGGACAAUGGGCGAAAGCCUGAUCCAGCAAUGCCGCGUGCAGGAUGAAGGCCUUCGGGUUGUAAACUGCUUUUGUACGGAACGAAAAGCCCCGGGUUAAUACCCUGGGGUCAUGACGGUACCGUAAGAAUAAGCACCGGCUAACUACGUGCCAGCCGCCGCGGUAA